rnacentral:tRNA from 1 species
AGAAACUUAGGUUAACACCAAACCAAGAGCCUUCAAAGCCCUAAACAGGGGACACCCCCCCCUAGUUUCUG